GAUCCUGGUUGAUUUUACACGCGAGUGCAGCCUGUAUCAAAGAGAACUCAUGAUCCUAGGUGGGAAGGUCGGGGUGGUGGAGAGCGAGAAGCAGGUGUCAUCAGCUUUAUCAUUGAGAAGGGGAAAAAAAUGUAUCCCAAAUUUUUUUUAAAAUAGUUCUUUUUUUAUUUCAGACCAUUUACUUAAAAAAAAAAACCAAAACAAAAAUCCAAAAAAAAUGGCUCGGCGCGUUGGUUUUGAAGGGAACAUCGGCGCAGGGAAAACCAGUUUGAUAAAGUUGGUAACAGCCCAAGCGCCCGAGCGGUUUCGCUUUUAUCCCGAACCUUUGGACGAGUGGGAGGCUUUGGGCAAUGUUUUGGAGGGGUUCUAUGCUGGUGAACCUGGGUCCGGGUUCCUAGCUCAAACAUUGAUAAGUCAGACUUUGUUGCGCCGAGAUAUCCCACGCACCCGAUGUCGGCGGGAGAUAGGCUUGUACGAACGCAGUCUGAUGAGUGCCCGUCAGUGUUUCAUUCCUGCAAUGCUGGUUCAAUCUCAACUUCGACCUGUGGAAGCGGCUAUUUUGAAUUGUGGGACCAGUUUUCACCUCUCCAUGUGGCCUCAUCUAAACCCUCAGAGGAUUGUCUAUGUUGAGUGCGAUCCGGAGACGGCCUACAACAGAGUUCUGGAACGGGGUGGGGUAGAGGGGGGACGCGUGACUCUGGGUUACCUGGAGAGGCUUCAUGAGUUUCAUGACGAGUGGUUGGGGCGGGGAAACCCCCGGGUUAUCAGGGUAAACACAUCCUCCGUAGAGGAGGCUGACAUGGUCAGACUGGCCAAAGAUUUAGCCGACAUGCUGCUUCUCCCACCUCCCCUACCCCCCCGUUCUCAGAUUUUCCGAGUGGACGAAUAACUGCUCCCCCAGGAUUUGUUCCCUCCUUUCAGAACCCUUACCAAGUUUUGGGAGAGUUUUGGGAAUACUUGAGUGGAGCCAGAGAUCUUCUCAGCGCUCAUCCGGACACUCUAACGCUGGUUCUCACCACAUCAUGGCACAGUGCUGCUGAGUGGGGAGCGGGUUGGGUUCGAGCUCCUGAAGGCUGGAAUGCCGUAAGAAAUCUCCUUCACGAGAGUUUCCCAACACGUGACGAGAUAUGGGUAGGAGACCGAGUUCCUGAGACGGUUUGGGAGACUGUUGAUGAGGGGGUGAGCUUUAACUGGCCAGAAACCCGUCAACAAUUGAACACCCGAUCUAUUCUCCGCUUGGAGUAGAGGUGC
rnacentral:misc_RNA from 1 species